ACAAAUAUGAAAGCCAAAUGGAUAAAUGAAUCACCGCAAAUAAACAAUAGGAAGGAAGUAGCCGAUAUGAAAACUCUGCAUUAGGGAUGUAAUUGAAUAUGGACGCAUUAUUCGGAUUGCACAAAUAACAUAGCGAAUAUAUACAAAUGCAGGAAGUAAAAGCGUGCACAAUUCUUUCUUUGUUUUUUUUGUUUUUUUUUUUGAGAAAGGGGUGCUUCAGGACUGGGAUCCCACAGGAUGCAACCAAAAAAAAAAAAGUUGAGGCAGUAGAAGGUUUUUACUUUCAUGCAGGCAAUCAGAUAUGAAGCUGAAGUAGAAAAAAACGAAUACAGAUAGGAGUGUAAUGCAAUACAUUUACUGCUUUCCUUCAUUUUCAACUGCCUGGUCAAUUUUUACAUUAUGUUUCUGGGAAGUAUAGCUCAGUUCAUCGCUUAGAAUAUAUUGUGGGUGGGAUUAAAAAAAGAAUGAUUAAGAAAACAAAACAAAAACAAUGCAUGUCGGAUUAGGCUAAUUAAAAGUUAGGACCGCAGUGAUGCAGUUGAGGUUGAGAAACUGUCGGCUAGAAUUCACCAUUUUUCCAGGGUGACCAGGGACAUGGUGGUAGGGUUCAAAAAUACAAAACAAAAAACAUUGACCAGUUUUGGUCCCAUAGUUUGUAACACUAGAAAGAUAUGUUGAAAUGUUAAAAUGUCUGAUAAAACGUAGGUAUUUAGGACAAUAUUAGAAUUCUCUACAGGCUGUCUAGAACUUUGCGCUGUUCAGUAAUAACGUUAUUCGUUUUUUAUUGGGACACUGAAAAUGAACCACUACUAGAAUGCCUAUUAAAGGUGAAAAUCCUUUGCCUGAGUAUUUAGCCAAAUGGAAACUAAAUUUAAACUGUCAGCAGGGUUCAGGGUUUAGCCAACAUUGUAAUUGCAUCUUUUUUCUUCCUGCUUGCAAGCGGCAUGAUUAAAACAAAGCAACAGCCAAAAUCCCACGAGUGCUCUUCAAGCACACACUACAACCUCCCGAUUUCCUGCGUCACCACUGUUCGUAAUACCAGGUAUCUCAGAUACGCACACGUAAAGCUCAUUUCCCAUGAGAUAAUUGCUAUCUAAAGGUUUCCCAUGGGGGGGCUGUGCUUGGAUGCAGAGGAAAUCGCAGGCUACUUUGGGCAAUGGCUCAGCAUGGCAUCUUAAACAACAGUGACUCACUAAGAUAAUAUAAAGCCAACAUUAGUCCUGCCUCUGGAAAUCUUACCUUCCUGGCUGACUCAGGUUCAAUAAUCCAGCACGCUCUGAUAAAUAUGAUUAUAUAUUCGAUUAGGAUCUUGGUUCUUUUGAAAGAUCUCUGGCAACAGGAUUGAUGAUUGCUGAGGUUAAAGUAUGCUUUGGAGAAUAGUGUUGGCUCGGAUGUUGUGCUUGUUUAUGAAGGGCGUGCAGUUGCUUGGUCUGGCGAGACUUUGUUUACAAGCGACCAAGAUGGGUAGACUGGUUUCGAAAUGAGAUCAUUGAAAUGAUCAGAAGUUGCUGAGUCCCAUUUCAGUCAUUGGUUUAGAAAACAAAAUGGAAGGAAGGUACCAGCAGUUUUACACACACACACACACACACACACACACACACACACACACACACACACACACUGUUAUUAAUGUCCACAGUUCUGCACCUUGCUCUAAUGGCCAGACCUCGCUGUAGUAAUCGCACUCUUGGCUUGAUCCAAUCUGAAAACACCCAGAUGGGUCUCUGGACCUUGACUCAGAACUUUGACCCAGCUUUCAUUCUCCACUUAUUGAUUUCUUCACAGAAAAAAAGCAGUUAUAUUAAUACUAAAAAUAGUCUCCCAUCCUAAAGCUGGCCAGUAGAAUGUGCACACAACAGGAGAGGAGGUGAGAUACUCGAAUCCAAUACUAGUAAGAUAUCAAUCAGCAGAAAGAGAAGGACAGGAAAGCAGAUGAGAGUAGAUAAGCUGACAUAUACUCUAUGGGACACCAUUUCGGGUGAUAUUUUUAUGGUUCUCUAUUCCAGAAUUCUAUAACUAUCAAGCGAUGGGCUCCAGAUUGAGCCGUGAGCCUGUUAUCCAGUCACAUUAACCGAACAGAAUCUUCUCAUGGGUUGAAACAGAAAUGCCAUAAACAUUGCAGAAAUCAGUGAAGAGCUUCGGAUUUUCGCACACUUCCCGGCACAUUCUGUUGUCGCUGACAGAGCAACUGUAUAAAUUAGUUCCAGAAUUGCACAAUGGCGUACCCCUGCCCCAGACAGCUUGCCAGAAAGGAUGAGUAAUGCUUAAGAAUUUGCAAAAGCAGGCCCAGUUGUCUUGUUGGCUGUGGUUCUUCAUUCCUUCUACCUUUUUUUGAGCCAUUUUCGAACGACAAAAUGGUUUAAGUGUUUUUCACUCUGUUUCUAAAAAGCUUACCUUCACUGUAGGCUAAUAAUUCUAUUAUCUUAGCAAUGCCCAUAAGAUUUUUGUAAUUAUACUGAUACUAAAUGUUCAAUUCUGGCAUUAUAGUAGUGUAGAAGAUUGUAGAACACCACUCUGUUCUUCAGUAUAAUUCUGGUGGGGGGGUUGCCAUUGCUUUAAAAAAGUACAGUCCAAUAUAGACUUUGAGUUGAGCUUACUCAGAAUGAACUGAUCAUGUCUAACAUAUAUAGACUUGAAUAGGAGGUGCACUAUUCUCUUGGUUGUCUUGUUUGUCAAAAGGGUUCACAGGGCAUCUGGUUGAGAUUAGAGGUACGCAUUAGUGCUGAGAUCACAUGAAAGACAACAAACAAGUUGUGAGACAGAAUGGCACACAACAUGUUUACAGCACUCCUCAGAGAGUGCUUCUCUCAGGGUUAUAGCGGUUUAAUCUAGCCUGCUGGCUCGGAUAUAUUUUAGGAAACAAAAUACAAAAUUUCAUGACCAUAUACAAAAAAAAAGAAAAAGGAAAACUGGGUGGGAUGCAUGGUAACAAUGCAUUUCUUUUGUUUUUUCCCUAGUGUUUUGAAAUGUUUCCUUGGCAACCGUAAUAGAUUUAAUGAUUAAUCAGAAAUAAAAUCCCCCUACUGAUUUAGACCACCCCUACUAACCGGAAUUAAGAGUACAUGAUAUCCACCCUGGAAUGAUGACAUCAGAUUUUACAGGGAGGCUCCCAGGAAUCAGCAUGCAGGCGUUACAUCACAGAGGACUCAUAGUCCAACAUCUGUACUUGGGUGGGGAAAAUAAAGCAGCGCACGACCGGCAAAGGACAGUCGGAGGACCGGACAACUCAUGAGCUCACAAAGCUCAGGAAAGGAGGAGGAGGAAGAAGAAGAGGAGGGUGGAUGGCAGUUAAUCAUUCAUCAUCUUGUACACCAGAGAUUAGCUUUGCCUCAGGAAGCUUAAAUACUAACAUUUUACCAAGUUAAUCCUACACCAGGUUUUUUUUUUUUUUUUUUUUUUUAGAACAACGCAGAUCCAACCCUGUAGUAGUGUUUUCUCUUUAAACGUUACAUAAAGCUGAAUCUUUUAGUCAAAUAACCAAAAUAUAACACGCUUAGCAUAACGAGAUCACGCAGCGAUUACGCGAUGAAAAAAGGUGUGAUAGUAUUUAGCUCCAUGCUAAUGAUCAAAGUACCUCUUGCCUUCCUGCAGCCCCAGGGGAUUAAGACUUAAGAGCAUUGCCUGUAUCUCAUAGCACAUGCAUUAAUGACACUCUACUUUAAGAAUUAACUUUAGGAUUUGAAAGAAAAAAAAAACCGAAUACCAGGUUUGGUUUGGUUGGCAAACCCUUUGAAUGGAUAUGAGUCAUAGAGAUACGGCUCUACAAGUGAAAAAGAGACCAUUUUUGUGAGUGUGUGGCAGCAAUCCAAUUUCCAUUUAGGGUCUUUUUCCAAGUAUACAAAUCAUGCAGUGUUUUCGAUCCAUAUCUCAUAAACCAAACGAAAUAUUUACACUUGUAGAAUUCAGUAUGCCUGGUGAAGAAAGGAACAGUACCCAGAAGUAAAUUUUGAUGUAUAUGUAUUUAAUAUAAGGCGUAUAAUCUGACGUCUAUUCGCGUUAACGUUAUACUGUUUUCAAAUCACAAAAGGUUGGGUUUUUUUGCAUCACUUGUAAACCGGUGGUUUGUG